UUCCCAAAAUCCUCCCUGAUUCCCACCCUAAAGCCCCCUAUUCCCAACCCCCUGGAUCUCGGUUAUUCCCAUGGGAUCAUCCCGGUGUUCCCAUGGGAUGAUCCCCUUGGGAAUGGGAUCCGCAGUUCCCCAAAUCCUCCCUGAAUCCCACCCCAAAACCACCCCAUUCCCAACCCCCUGGAUCCUGGUGUUCCCUUGGGAUCAUCCCAGUAUUCCCGUGGGAUCAUCCCGGUGUUCCCAUGGGAUCAUCCUCUUGGGAGUGGGAGCUGCGAUUCCCAAAAUCCUCCCUGAUUCCCACCCCAAAAUCACCCCAUUCCCGACCUCCUGGAUCCCGGUGUUCCCUUGGGAUCAUCCCAGUAUUCCCGUGGGAUCAUCCCGGUGUUCCCAUGGGAUGAUCCCCUUGGGAAUGGGAGCCGCGGUUCCCAAAAUCCUCCCUGAAUCCCACCCCAAAAUCCCCCAUUCCCGACCCCCUGGAUCCCACUGUUCCCAUGGGGAUCAUCUGGGAUCAUCCCACUGUUCCCCUGGGAUCAUCUCCUUGGGAAUGGGAUCCGCAAUUCCCGGCUUGGGACCCCAAAAUCCUCCCUGAUUCCCACCCCAAAACCCUCCUCCUGCCCUCUUCUCCCAUCCCAUAUCCCGAUUUUCCCAAGGGAUCAUCCCGGUUUUCCCAUGGGAUCGUGUCCUCGGGAACGGGAUCCACAAUUCCCAACCUUCCCCCUCCCCGCAAUAUUUGGGACCAAAACCACGGCCUAACUCCCUUCCCAAAAUCCAGGAUGCGGGGUCUGGGUCGCCCUAAGAGGUUGGGGUGGGAUCCACACGUGCGGAUCGCGGAAUUCCGGGAGAAUUUGGGGAAUUUCGGGGGUGGUUGUUUUUUUUUUAAUGUUUUGUUAUUCAGGGUCGUAGCGAAUCAUGCGGUUGGUGGAUUAAAACGGAAACAUUUGGACGAGC